GCGACCCCAGKAUGGGCGAGGCCACCCG
rnacentral:rRNA from 1 species